rnacentral:lncRNA from 1 species
ACGGCGAGUUCACAUGGUGAAAGAACAAUAAAAUGAAUCAUAUGGUAGUAAAGUGAAACGUUUCAAACCACACAGUGCUGCACCACGAGGGGCUUUGUAACGACCCAAUCCACUAGCAAUAAUAAUUUGUUGGGCCAAACCACAGGCCCAAAAUGUUUAAGCCCAGUUAUUAUUACUAGCGUGUAGGUCUCAUAUAAACCGAUCGGAAUCAGCCCUGUUUAGACCCUGACGUCCUCGUCGGGUUCAAACCAGAUCACAGACAAACAAAUCAGGACCAUUACUAGGUGAUGUGAGAUUCUAGAGGUGGCUCCUACGGGUUCAAGAGGUGGCUCCCACCAAACCCGUUGGUGUAGCACUUUGUCCCGCAUAGCACUUAGUUCUCACACUUUCGGCUGAUAUUCGGUUCUGAUACCAAUUGUAACGACCCAACCCACUAGCAAUAAUAACUCAUUGGGCCAAACCACAGGCCCAAAAUGCUUAAGCCCAGUUAUUAUAACUAGCGUGUAGGUCUCAUAUAAACUGAUCGGAAUCAGUAUCCCAUCCGAUGUGAGACUAUUGGGUGCGUUACAGGCUUAGUUGUAAUUAUUAGAUUUUCAAGCUUAAUGGCAACU